rnacentral:rRNA from 2 species
GCAGGGCCGGCGUGCCUAUACAUGCAGUCGAACGAGUUCUCGUUGAUGAUCGGUGCUUGCACCGAGAUUCAACAUGGAACGAGUGGCGGACGGGUGAGUAACACGUGGGUAACCUGCCCUUAAGUGGGGGAUAACAUUUGGAAACAGAUGCUAAUACCGCAUAGAUCCAAGAACCGCAGGGUUCUUGGCUGAAAGAUGGCGUAAGCUAUCGCUUUUGGAUGGACCCGCGGCGUAUUAGCUAGUUGGUGAGGUAAUGGCUCACCAAGGCGAUGAUACGUAGCCGAACUGAGAGGUUGAUCGGCCACAUUGGGACUGAGACACGGCCCAAACUCCUACGGGAGGCAGCAGUAGGGAAUCUUCCACAAUGGACGCAAGUCUGAUGGAGCAACGCCGCGUGAGUGAAGAAGGCUUUCGGGUCGUAAAACUCUGUUGUUGGAGAAGAAUGGUCGGCAGAGUAACUGUUGUCGGCGUGACGGUAUCCAACCAGAAAGCCACGGCUAACUACGUGCCAGCAGCCGCGGUAAUACGUAGGUGGCAAGCGUUAUCCGGAUUUAUUGGGCGUAAAGCGAGCGCAGGCGGUUUUUUAAGUCUGAUGUGAAAGCCCUCGGCUUAACCGAGGAAGCGCAUCGGAAACUGGGAAACUUGAGUGCAGAAGAGGACAGUGGAACUCCAUGUGUAGCGGUGAAAUGCGUAGAUAUAUGGAAGAACACCAGUGGCGAAGGCGGCUGUCUGGUCUGUAACUGACGCUGAGGCUCGAAAGCAUGGGUAGCGAACAGGAUUAGAUACCCUGGUAGUCCAUGCCGUAAACGAUGAAUGCUAGGUGUUGGGAGGGUUUCCGCCCUUCAGUGCCGCAGCUAACGCAUUAAGCAUUCCGCCUGGGGAGUACGACCGCAAGGUUGAAACUCAAAGGAAUUGACGGGGGCCCGCACAAGCGGUGGAGCAUGUGGGUUUAAUUCGAAGCAACGCGAAGAACCUUACCAGGUCUUGACAUCUUUUGAUCACCUGAGAAGAUCAGGUUUCCCCUUCGGGGGCAAAAUGACAGGUGGGGGCAUGGGUUGUCGUCAGCUCCUGUCCUGAGAAGGUUUGGGGUUAAUUCCCCC